UACGAAGGGGGCUAGCGUUGCUCGGAAUCACUGGGCGUAAAGGGUGCGUAGGCGGAUCUUUAAGUCAGGGGUGAAAUCCUGGAGCUCAACUCCAGAACUGCCUUUGAUACUGAGGAUCUUGAGUUCGGGAGAGGUGAGUGGAACUGCGAGUGUAGAGGUGAAAUUCGUAGAUAUUCGCAAGAACACCAGUGGCGAAGGCGGCUCACUGGACCGGUAUUGACGCUGAGGUGCGAAAGCGUGGGGAGCAAACAGGG
rnacentral:rRNA from 1 species